UACGUAGGGGGCGAGCGUUGUCCGGAUUUAUUGGGCGUAAAGCGCGCGUAGGUGGCCCCGUAAGUCCGCUGUGAAAGUCAAAGGCUCAACCUUUGAAAGCCGGUGGAUACUGUGGGACUAGAGUACGGAAGAGGCGAGUGGAAUUCCUGGUGUAGCGGUGGAAUGCGCAGAUAUCAGGAGGAACACCAAUAGCGAAGGCAGCUCGCUGGGACGUUACUGACACUGAGGCGCGAAAGCGUGGGGAGCGAACAGG
rnacentral:rRNA from 1 species